rnacentral:rRNA from 1 species
AACUUGAAUUUGGGUUUUUUAACUUAGAUUUGGGUGGCGGACGGGUGAGUAACGCGUAAAGAACUUGCCUCACAGCUAGGGACAACAUUUGGAAACGAAUGCUAAUACCUGAUAUUAUGAUUUUAAGGCAUCUUAGAAUUAUGAAAGCUAUACGCGCUGUGAGAGAGCUUUGCGUCCCAUUAGCUAGUUGGAGAGGUAACGGCUCACCAAGGCGAUGAUGGGUAGCCGGCCUGAGAGGGUGAACGGCCACAAGGGGACUGAGACACGGCCCUUACUCCUACGGGAGGCAGCAGUGGGGAAUAUUGGACAAUGGACCAAGAGUCUGAUCCAGCAAUUCUGUGUGCACGAUGACGUUUUUCGGAAUGUAAAGUGCUUUCAGUUGGGAAGAAAAAAAUGACGGUACCAACAGAAGAAGUGACGGCUAAAUACGUGCCAGCAGCCGCGGUAAUACGUAUGUCACGAGCGUUAUCCGGAUUUAUUGGGCGUAAAGCGCGUCUAGGUGGUUAUGUAAGUCUGAUGUGAAAAUGCAGGGCUCAACUCUGUAUUGCGUUGGAAACUGUGUAACUAGAGUACUGGUGAGGUAAGCGGAACUACAAGUGUAGAGGUGAAAUUCGUAGAUAUUUGUAGGAAUGCCGGUGGGGAAGCCAGCUUACUGGACAGAUACUGACGCUGAGGCGCGAAAGCGUGGGUAGCAAACAGGAUUAGAUACCCUGGUAGUCCACGCCGUAAACGAUGAUUACUAGGUGUUGGGGGUCGAACCUCAGCGCCCAAGCAUACGCGAUAAGUAAUCCGCCU